UACGGAGGGAGCUAGCGUUGUUCGGAAUUACUGGGCGUAAAGCGCACGUAGGCGGCUUUGUAAGUCAGAGGUGAAAGCCUGGAGCUCAACUCCAGAACUGCCUUUGAGACUGCAUCGCUUGAAUCCAGGAGAGGUGAGUGGAAUUCCGAGUGUAGAGGUGAAAUUCGUAGAUAUCAGGAAGAACACCAAUGGCGAAAGCAGCUCUCUGGGACGGUACUGACGCUGAGACGCGAAAGCGUGGGAAGCGAACAGG
rnacentral:rRNA from 1 species